GAGCGGUGAUGACUUCUGCGCUAUUGGUUAUGGAUGGGUCCAUCACAAAUGUCUGAUAUUUCAGAAGAAAAUACGCGCAUCUGAGCUU